rnacentral:rRNA from 1 species
GUAAGGAAUAUUGGUCAAUGGGGGCAACCCUGAACCAGCAAUGCCGCGUGCAGGAUGAAGGCCCUCGGGUUGUAAACUGCUUUUGUACGGAACGAAAAGCCUGGGGCUAAUAUCCCCGGGUCAUGACGGUACCGUAAGAAUAAGCACCGGCUAACUACGUGCCAGCAGCCGCGGUAAUACGUAGGGUGCAAGCGUUAAUCGGAAUUACUGGGCGUAAAGCGUGCGCAGGCGGUUUUGUAAGACAGUGGUGAAAUCCCCGGGCUCAACCUGGGAACUGCCAUUGUGACUGCAAGGCUAGAGUGCGGCAGAGGGGGAUGGAAUUCCGCGUGUAGCAGUGAAAUGCGUAGAUAUGCGGAGGAACACCGAUGGCGAAGGCAAUCCCCUGGGCCUGCACUGACGCUCAUGCACGAAAGCGUGGGGAGCAAACAGGAUUAGAUACCCCGGUAGUCC